UGAACAAGGAGAUCUUUCCACCAGAUGUUGAUAUCACAUAGCAAGCAUUCUUGGACAAAGCAAAGCAGGUUAAUAGCAUUCGAUGCUAAUACUAAGAUGGCAUCACCAGAGUUUGUACAUAUUAACCUUGAUACCUUUGGAGUGAGGCUAGACAUACACCUUUGGGAGUUGAAUUUACAAACCAUUCCACUGAUUAGCAACAAAAGAGGCCACUUAUUGGAUGGUCCACAUCGGAGAAUUUGAUUAAGAAAUCAUCCACCGCUGCCACAAAUCGAUUUUUUGUUGUAUCAAAUUGCACAACA
rnacentral:misc_RNA from 1 species